GAUGAACGCUGGCGGCGUGCCUAAUACAUGCAAGUCGAGCGAACAGACGAGGAGCUUGCUCCUCUGACGUUAGCGGCGGACGGGUGAGUAACACGUGGAUAACCUACCUAUAAGACUGGGAUAACUUCGGGAAACCGGAGCUAAUACCGGAUAAUAUAUUGAACCGCAUGGUUCAAUAGUGAAAGACGGUUUUGCUGUCACUUAUAGAUGGAUCCGCGCCGCAUUAGCUAGUUGGUAAGGUAACGGCUUACCAAGGCAACGAUGCGUAGCCGACCUGAGAGGAUGAUCGGCCACACUGGAACUGAGACACGGUCCAGACUCCUACGGGAGGCAGCAGUAGGGAAUCUUCCACAAUGGGCGAAAGCCUGACGGAGCAACACCGCGUGAGUGAUGAAGGUCUUCGGAUCGUAAAACUCUGUUAUUAGGAAAGAACAAAUGUGUAAGUAACUCUGCACGUCUUGACGGUACCUAAUCAGAAAGCCACGGCUAACUACGUG
rnacentral:rRNA from 1 species